rnacentral:misc_RNA from 1 species
UGGUUCUCGCAUCGAUGAAGAACGCAGCGAAAUGCGAUAAGUAAUGUGAAUUGCAGAGUCCAGUGAAUCAUCGAAUCUUUGAACGCACAUUGCGCCCCCUGGUACUCCGGGGGGCACGCCUGUCCGAGCGUCAUCGCAAACACCCUCGGGCCCACGGCCCGGUGACGGGACACGCGGUCGGCCCAGGCCGGCCCCGGUCCUCAGAGCGAUCGGACCCCGACUGUCUCCGACCGACGCGUCGGCACGUGGCUGGUGGCCCCUGAGGCGAUCUCACGUGCUGGCGAGCGGCGACGGUGCGUCGGCGGUCCGGGACGAGCAGUCCAUCCGGUGGGAGCAGUCCCACCACGCUUGACCUCGGAUCAGGCGGGGAUACCCGCUGA